AACGCGUAGCGCACGCGCGCUCGAGGCGACCGGUGCCGCGGAGGUCACGUUUGACUUCCGCGGCACCG
rnacentral:sRNA from 1 species